rnacentral:rRNA from 1 species
UACGGGGGGGGCAAGCGUUGUUCGGAAUUACUGGGCGUAAAGGGCGCGUAGGCGGCCUGCUAAGUCGGACGUGAAAUCCCUCGGCUCAACCGGGGAACUGCGUCCGAUACUGGUGGGCUCGAAUCCGGGAGAGGGAUGUGGAAUUCCAGGUGUAGCGGUGAAAUGCGUAGAUAUCUGGAGGAAUACCGGUGGCGAAGGCGGCAUCCUGGACCGACAUUGACGCUGAGGAGCGAAAGCUAGGGGAGCAAACGGGG